UCAAAAUGACUCGCAGUACCUGGUCCAGGAUGACCCUGUGUUAUUAUUCGUUUUGAGAACGAAUAAAUGAAUUCGUUUUACUUCAAACAAACCAAAAUAAUAUACAUUUAUUCAGUCCAAAUGUAAAAUUACAUUUAUUCAAAAGAUCAUUAAAAUGAAUAGCCUACAGGUUUCAAAAGACACCUAUAAUGUUUAAGUCAAAGCCAGCUAAGUUAUUAUUAUUAUCAUUUGUCCAAGAAUUGUAGAAAAAUACACAAACUGAAAAUACAGAAGAAUUUAGCAAUUGUUAAAAAAUGUAUUCAUGUGAUUUUAUACAUUAAUGUUGUAAAAUAAAUGAAUCCUUCAUAACCGUAAUAACCGUACAACCGUGAUUAUUUAUCAGACUAUAACCGCACCAUCAAAAUCUAUAAUCGCUGCAUCCCUAGUCUCGGUGAUAGGCAGAACGAAGGUGAUCAUUCCUUUUUAGACCGUAGUGACGGUCAGAGUGAGGUCGAAACAGAUCUGUUAGUUAUUAGGUGUGUUCGACUUCAUGCGGCGCUGCGCAGACCGAUCGGCGGCUGACUUGAAGCAGUGCAUUUUGGUUAGUACUUUUGUCCGACUUCAGCUGGCGCUGCAGGCAUGUGACUGUGUCAUAUGGUUUUUAAGUACCGCGAGAGCGAUUCGAGAUCAGCCGCCUGAGUCAGCCAGCGCAGUUCGCGAAGAGGUGCUGCACGGGCUGUAAUGACGACACAGCUGUUUCACCAUUGGUCGGAUUCACCACAUGACAACAAUCACGUGUGUUUCGUGCUUAUUUUCACGCCCUCAGUUCCACAAAUGCUCACAAAUCUGUAUUUUUAUAACAGUUAAAGCUCUUUUCAUGUAGUCGCGAUGUUAUAUUGUGUCAUCUUCAUCAAAAUAAAAUGGAAAUAGAAAUGAAAAAACGUAGACCCCACUUCAUUGGUAUUUAAAUAAUUUAUGCU